rnacentral:lncRNA from 1 species
UCAUCUUCAUCUUCUUCUUCUUUUUUCUUUUUUGAUCAAUGAGUUAAAAAUUGGUGGUUAGCCUUGAUACAUGGGAGGUUUAACCUCCCUUGAUUCAAAUCUAAUUCAUCUUGAUCAUGGAUCAAGUGAAUGGCUUUGCAUUAAGGAUAUGUUGCUUCCUAAUCAAGCAAAGAACCUAAAUCAAUACAAGAUCAUUUCUCAUCUUCUUUUGGCAUGGCAAGUUCUAGGAGCUUGAUUCACUAAUCAAGAUCUCUAACUUGUGUUGUUG